rnacentral:rRNA from 1 species
GACGAACGCUGGCGGCGUGCCUAAUACAUGCAAGUAGAACGCUGAAGGAGGAGCUUGCUUCUCUGGAUGAGUUGCGAACGGGUGAGUAACGCGUAGGUAACCUGCCUGGUAGCGGGGGAUAACUAUUGGAAACGAUAGCUAAUACCGCAUAAUAGUAGAUGUUGCAUGACAUUUGCUUAAAAGGUGCAAUUGCAUCACUACCAGAUGGACCUGCGUUGUAUUAGCUAGUUGGUGAGGUAACGGCUCACCAAGGCGACGAUACAUAGCCGACCUGAGAGGGUGAUCGGCCACACUGGGACUGAGACACGGCCCAGACUCCUACGGGAGGCAGCAGUAGGGAAUCUUCGGCAAUGGACGGAAGUCUGACCGAGCAACGCCGCGUGAGUGAAGAAGGUUUUCGGAUCGUAAAGCUCUGUUGUAAGAGAAGAACGAGUGUGAGAGUGGAAAGUUCACACUGUGACGGUAUCUGACCAGAAAGGGACGGCUAACUACGUG